AUCAUUCAUUCACACAAAAGUCAGGGAAACACAUAGCUCUGCUGAGCAGCCUCUCCCUCUCUUUUGCUGAGUUUCUUUCUUGCCAAAGCCUUGUUGGACGUUUCCAUAAGAGCAUCAACUUUGGAGCCUUGAAGCCGGAGCACUUUUUAGAUGUCUACAAGCUUCUUGAAGACUGAUAAAGUGUGUCGAAACUUAAUUGGGUUACCAACAACUUAUAGUGCGGAAUUUCCGAAAUUUCGUGAUAUUUUGCGAAUUUCUCGACUUUGUCCCAAAAUAAGCGAAAUCUUUGCUUCGAACUGGGCCAAAAUGGGCCCAAAUUUUGAAUAAAACGAACCCUGGUCCCCAAGAAAUCAGAAUAGAGAAAAAUGUCUUAACCAACACUGCCAAGAUGCAUUUGUGUUAUAUAUCUACAUUUAAACAUAUUAAUAUACUCAAUACAUGUAUCUAUCUUUCCAUCAAUUUGUUUGAAACUUUUGUGAUAUCAAUACUUUCCUGAUAUUUCCAUCAAAAUUUCUAAUUUUUGAAGGGUCGAUAUUUCUAUAAUCAUCGAAAUUUUAGUCCUUGGUUCUGUUUAUGUUGUACUCCUACUGUUUUUUUAUCAAUAAAAUGAUUUAGUGUCUUUAUUUAUUUAUUUAUUUUUUUAAAAAGAAAAAAGAAAAAAAUAAACUCAAAUUUCAUAUGACCGAAACCCUAAUUUGCUAACGGAGAUCGGGACAGAUAUGGGGAUCUAAUCCUCAAAGAGGACGGAGAUGGAAAAACCCUUACGAAGAUUGAGGCGAGGUCGGGAAUAUAAAUGAAACAGGAUAUAUGGGUAUGAUUUAUUCAUCCCUGCCCUGACCUUACCCCUCCCCGCUGCCAUCUCUAUUUGCUAUACUCAUGUAUUUGC